rnacentral:lncRNA from 1 species
CGCAUAUAUUUUGCGCAUCAAAACAUUCCAUCAGUGGGGGAGCAACCUUUGGAAUGUUGUUAAUAUUUCGCACCUUCCGAACUUUCUUGAAUUGAAUCUCUAGUCUGCAUUCAUUUACAAGCAUAACGAACCAGAAAAGUGUUAAAAAUUCAGUAUAAUAUAUAUCUAAUCAUAUUUUACAACUGUAGCACUGAGUUCAAAAUGUAAACAAAGCGUUUGUUUACAUUACGGACUUUACAUCACCUUUAAAUU